rnacentral:rRNA from 1 species
UGAGGAAUAUUGGACAAUGGGCGGGAGCCUGAUCCAGCCAUGCCGCGUGCAGGAAGACUGCCCUAUGGGUUGUAAACUGCUUUUGUACGGGAAGAAACACCCCCUUGCGAGGGGGCUUGACGGUACCGUAAGGAUAAGGAUCGGCUAACUCUGUGCCAGCAGCCGUGGUAAUACAGAGGAUCCGAGCGUUAUCCGGAAUCAUUGGGUUUAAAGGGUCCGUAGGUGGGCCGUUAAGUCAGAGGUGAAAUCCUGCAGCUCAACUGUAGAAUUGCCUUUGAUACUGGCGGUCUUGAAUCGUUGUGAAGUGGCUGGAAUAUGUAGUGUAGCGGUGAAAUGCAUAGAUAUUACAUAGAACACCAAUUGCGAAGGCAGGUCACUAACAGCGCAUUGACACUGAUGGACGAAAGCGUGGGGAGCGAACAGGAUUAGAUACCCUGGUAGUCCACGCCGUAAACGAUGGACACUAGCUGUGGGGACUUCGGUCUCCGUGGCCAAGCGAAAGUGAUAAGUGUCCCACCUGGGGAGUACGUUCGCAAGAAUG